ACAGUGGUGUGCCGCUGGGCAAUGUAUCGAUAUUAUUUAGAUAUCGUGAUACGAGACUAGAUAGCUUCUUAGAUUUUGAAUAUUGUAAUAUGACAUAAAAUGGUAAGAGUUGCC